rnacentral:misc_RNA from 1 species
GCCUUGUGAGUGUUUUUCUUCCAUUUCUUUUCAGUUAAAGUUUCACCUUUUUCUCUCUGUCUCACGCAUAAAACCUUCGUCUCCAUUUCAACUUUCAACUACAACACCUUAUUUCUUCUUUCUCAACUACUCAUCAAUGAAGGUGACCCGAGGUGGGCUUUGGUCGGUUUGGCUUUAUGGAUUGGUGCUUAUUUGUUUUUCCUUGUAUGCUACUCAGAUGUUACCUUCAUUUAAGGAUGAAAUCCAGAGAACACCCAAUUUCAAUCACAACGAUUUCAGCGACGUGGGAAAUCCCAAAAUCACUAUCUUCUCAGCUCCUGCCCCUUUUUCUGGUUCAGCUGGGGCUAGGCAGAGUCUCGCCAUUCGCUCUUGGCUUGCUUUGUCUUCUCACAUUGGGGUGAUUCUUUUCACACAAGACCCUUCUGCUGUUUCCUUCGCCUCUGCCUUUGGUUCGCGAGUUCUGGUCGAUCCCAGUAUCGAUUUCACGUUUCUUCGUACCCCAUUCUUUCAUUCUAUGAUGGAAAGAUCGCGAGCGUUCACAACAGACAUUUCCGUUUUUAUCAACCCGGAAACUAUUCUUCUGCCUGAUUUCGUUUCCACCAUAAAUUAUGCCUACAAACUUGACCACGAUUGGUUUCUCGUGGCUUCAUCGCAAAAUGUUUCUUACUUCCCUUUUCACCUGGAUGAUUCUGGGAAGCACUGGCUGAGAAAGGAUGGCAAAUGGAUGAAACCCCAGGAGUUGCAGGAGAUGCUUAGUCAGAAUUUGCUGUGGAAUCAUUGUGAUGAUAGAAUGCUUAUGGCAUGGAACAGCAGGAACGUGCCUUUACAUAAUGCAGUGCUUCCUCCUUUCUUGUACGGCAAGGGGAUUCACAACCACUGGGUCAUAAAUGAGGCUGUGUCAUCCGAAUUCAGAUUGCGCCACCUCCAGGUUACGAACUUCUUGAUUUGUGCUCUUGACCAUGAAACAUAUGAGUUCUCCGUCUUACAGGUAUUUUGCAUUAUUGCUUUCUGUUUCUUUUGAGUCUCAUUUUCUAUCCCAAUUGCUAUAAAAUUUGGGUUAUUCUCGGUUGUAUAAUAGGAACAUGCACAAUUAAUGAAUUAAAUAAUAGAGUCCUAUAUGUGUAUUUCAGAUUUAUUGAAGGUUUUGGUAAUUUGUAAUUUUAUGGGAUGAUCUUAAAGAUUUUGGGACUCCCUCUCCCCCAGUGGGCUGUCUCUGUCUUUGAACUAAAACAUUUCCUUUUUCUGCUAGGGCUUGCCUGUUUUCCGUGAUCCAUCAGCCCUAAGUAACAUUAGCUUUGAUGAUUGCCACUUUGGAACCAAAUGCUUUCAGAGGGUAACCAAAGUUAAGUCCAGAAUGGUUCUGAAGAUAUUGAAGCUGGGGUACAAUGUGCUUCUGAGUGAUGUAGAUGUGUAUUGGUUUGCAAAUCCAUUGCCAAUACUUUGUUCUUUUGGUCCAGCUGUUCUUGUGGCACAGUCUGAUGAAUACAAUAAAACAGGUGUUACUCUAAGAAUGAAGCUAUUAAUGACUAAUUCCCAAUGGCAAGGAAUUAUGGAUUUCACCUGUGAUCAAUGAUCACAAUCAAAACAGUAGAUUAAAUUAUAAGAAUAUCUUGUUGAAGUUUGGUGCAAUUUACUAGUUCAUUAUGUCUUUCCCACAAUCCUGUUCUGUUUUUGGUAUUUAUAAAAGAAAGGCUAUGCUGCUUUUUUUUUUCUUUUUCUAGGGGAGGAAAAAAAAGGAUAAUUUAGUGUUUCUCAACUCCACUCAGUCAGAUUACUUAUUAAUAAUAUAACAUUGAUCCCUUAACUCUUUUAUGCCAUUUUCGCAUCUGCAGGUCCAGUGAACUUGCCUAGGCGUUUGAACUCUGGCUUUUACUUUGCUCAUUCUGAUGGUUCAACAAUUGCUGCUAUGGAGAAGGUGGUGAAGCAUGCUACAACUUCUGGCCUGUCUGAACAGCCAAGCUUCUAUGACACAUUAUGUGGGGAAGGUGGGUCCAAUCGCAUUGGUGAUGAUAGAUGUGUGGAACCUGAAACAAAUUUGACUGUUCAUUUCUUGGAUAGAAACCUCUUCCCUAAUGGUGCAUACUUAGACCUAUGGCAGAAGAAAAAUGUGAAAAAGGCCUGUGCAAAGAAGGGCUGUCUCAUUCUUCAUAACAAUUGGAUUAGUGGAAGGGCAAAGAAGCUGGAACGCCAGGUUUUGUCAGGUUUAUGGGAGUAUGAUAGUAGCAAAAGAAUUUGCUGCAGAGGUAGCACAGUGCUGAAUUAACUAGGUGUCUUUGAGAUCUUUUCACUGUUUUGUUGAUAUUUUAUUGUCUUCUAUCCAUGGGUAACCUUGGUUUUCUCGUGGAUGAGAAGAGAAGAACUUAUUCCCUUCUUCCAUGUUAUUGAGUAUCCUAAGCCUCGAUUUAAUCUUGGUUUCAAUGGGAGAAUACUAAAUUAGAAAGAGCCGGCCAUGAAAAACAAAACAUAUCCACCUUGGCAACAGAUAAUAAUAUUGAAAUACCUCUGGCCGGCACAAUAAUCCCCUAUAUUUGCAUCUAACAGCUUUUGAUUGCUGGCCAUGCUGAAGGCCUGUGUUCUUUUUUUAGGCCAAGGUCGAGGCUCUCACAAAGAGUCUGGAAGGAAAAAGGAAUUUGGAAAAUCUCCUUUAUCAUUUGGCAUGUGCUCACAGUCGAAGGAUUUUUCUGUCAGGAUAGUUCAUGCUGGUGGGCGAGAGGAGUUGUAUCAACAUGCAGUUCCUGCAUCUCACUUGAUGGAAAAAUAUCCUGGGAUGUGUGUUGCCAGGCCAGAAGUUUUCAGAAAUCCACGACAGUCCCUGCUGUGGCCGGAUGAGAAUUUGUUGCCUGGUCACAAAUAUCUUAUAAUCCCAUCUACCACUGCUCAGAAAUUGAAAGGUAAGCAAAUGGAGAAGGCAAAAGUCACAGGAUAUGCUGAAGGUAAAGAUGAGAUGUUAGAUGUAAAUAUCACUUGGGAGGCGGGUAGAGACAUUUCAGAGGAAUCUAUUUCUUCUGCAAAAGAAUUUUAUACCUCCAAGGGCAGGUGGUCAAGAGACUCAAAAUGUUCAGCAAGGAGGAGUUUUAGACCAAGGAAGCCUUUUGUACCCCCUCUCCCAAAGGCAAGGAUUUUGCGGGGACCUGGGUGGGAACCGAGUUUGACAUCUGUACGAGAACUCUCUCCAUGACAAUUUGAUCUACCUUAUGGCUUGUAUCAUUGUGUAUUCUGGUAUGUGGUCCUUCCAGAGUUAUUUUUGUCGCUUUAUUAUGAACAGUAGUGUUUAGUCGUACAAGACAAAUGGAUUAGCGUUCUGCUCCCAAGUUUCAAAACCCUUUUUCAUGAUUGUGGAAGCUGCAUGAACAAUUCAUUUGUAUCUCUUCCAUAAUCUCAGACUCCUGAAUUUGAAUAUUCUCUAUGUUAUUACGUAUGAAUUUUGAAUAUUGGCUGUCAAUAGAACGAACUUGCUCAAACACUGAUCUCUAUAAAAUUACUCAGAAUUGCCUUGUGACCGC